rnacentral:tRNA from 2 species
GGGCCUGUAGCUCAGUUGGUUAGAGCAGCGGACUCAUAAUCCGUCGGUCGUAGGUUCAAGUCCUACCGGGCCCACCA